CCCUUAGACGUUCUGGGCCGCACGCGCGCUACACUGACCAGUGCAACAAGCAUCCGUCCUUGGCCGACAGGCUCGGGCAAUCUUUGAACGCUGGUCGUGAUGGGGAUAGACUUUUGCAAUUUUUGGUCUUCAACGAGGAAUUCCUAGUAAACGCAAGUCAUCAACUUGCAUUGAUUACGUCCCUGCCCUUUGUACACACCGCCCGUCGCACCUACCGAUUGAAUGGUCCGGUGAAGCCUCCGGAUUGCCGCGCACCUCGGUGCCGCCGAGAAGUUGGCUAAACCUUACCAUUUAGAGGAAGGUGAAGUCGUANCA
rnacentral:rRNA from 1 species